CGUUGGCCACAUAUUAACUAAUGUGCAAAUGAGCCCAAGAAGCUGGCCAGAAAUCCCAAGAGACUGUGCCAAGUACAUGCAGCUGCACCUGGGAAUACACCAAAGCAUGACAUCACCAGCACAGCCUCCUCCACCACACCUUCCCUUUCUCCUCCUUCCCCGCUGGCCUCAGACAGCUAUGCAUGGCUGCAUGAACAAAGGUCUAAAUCUAGACUUGUUUUAGCCUCCUCUUCCCUUCUUCUCAUCUUUAUUCUGCCUCCACCUUCUUCUUUCCAUGUCUUCCCCUGCUGGCUUCUCUGUCGUUUCCCACAGUGGGUUCCCCCAGCCCCUGUGGUCCUCAUGUCCUGUUCUUGUUCCCUUUGUGCUGGAUCCCACAUCCUACAGCAUCCAGGACCAUCCUCCAUGGCUGAUGCCACAGCCUGCCAAUUCCCAAAUUCUUCAUGUUUGUUUGACUUCCUAGUUAGUUGUAAAACCAAAGCCCAGGGAGGAGUCCCAAGGUGCACAGCACAGAGUCAGUCUGCAUGUGUACAGAGAUGCAGAUCCGUUUUUAAUCAAUGUAAGUAUAUGCAUGUACGUAUAUACAUAUGCAAUUCACAUUCACAAGUCCUGGUAUAAAGUUGCAAUUUUUCUGGCUGCUAUAAAAUGUGCCAGUUUUAAAACUGUGCAUUUGUUGCUUGCAAACUUAUAAAUAUGUAUAAACCCCAUUAUAAAUAAAUUGUGGCUGGCAGAUGGCAUUUAAGCUGCCAGCAAUGGUUGCAUGGAGUUAUAAAUGCUUAUUAAUUCUCCACUUUUAAAUUCACAGCACGGACCCUGGGAUCUGUGACAUGAAGUGGUGUGAAAACAUAAUUAUAAAUUAGAGGGGGGAAAGCCAUCAAUAAGAGACAGGUAAGGGCUGGAAACUCUCACUAGUGAGUGAUUCUCAAAGUCAAGACUUCAGAGCAGCUGCACCAACAUCGCUUGGAGAAUUUUUGAAAUGCAAAUUCUCGGGCCCCACUCCAGACCUAGGGAGUCAGGAGCUUGGCAGGGCCAGGGGGUGGGAGGGCCUGCCAUCUUUGUCUGAACCAGCUCGCAGGGUGGUUCUGAUGCCUGCCUUCCAUCCGAGUCUGCUUGUCAUGAACGCCUGUCUCUCGGCCCAAGGACUUCCCCGGCUUGGGAAGCAUGUACAGGUGUGUGCAGGGCCAGUCAGAAACUGUUUCCAGAAACAGCCUUCCAUAAGUGAUAGACUUGGUGAAUAAAUACCCCAGCCGUCUCCCCACUCUGCUGGGUUCACUCUGGGCUGUCAGCUCUGUCUCUCAGGGUUCCCCAGUGGGAUUCGGCUCCAGUUGUGCACAUGAUGGUAACUUACUUGAUAAUGCAUGUCUUCCUCGUAGCUUCCUUCUCUCCCUACUCCCGGGAUCUUCACUCAAAUAAACUACAUACCCUCAAGUCCUCUCUCAGGGUUUCCCUCUGGAGAAACCCCAACUAAGACAGAGGAAACAGAAACACUGCCUCUCCCAUCUGAAUGACUCAGGCUUUUACACAUUUCGAGAUGGAGCACAGAUGUAGAACCCGGGAGGGAAGCACUGCGUGCCAUUUCCAUGGGGCGGGGGGUGAGCUUUACACACAGGUCCAGGACUGUGAGUCCUGUGCUCUUUCCUAAGUUGAUCCCCAGGCCCUUGCAUGGCUCCAGUUUCCGCUUCUGAAAAGCGGGGCCCCCAGCUGGGCUGUCUUGCCGAGCUCCCUGCCCUGUGAUCCUGUGUGGAGCUGACAGUUCUAGGUUGGCACUAUAGGACUGUAGUACAGGAGUGGGUUUGUCCACUUUAUCUGUCUUAUAGCCAACUUUGAAAGUUCCACGGGAGAACCUGAGUAUUACUCUGAAACCCACUGCAAGGUCUGUCUGGGUCCUGCAAUGACCUCUUUGCGAUCUUUCCACAUUCCUCCUGCUCACUCCCAAUCCUACCGUCACCGUCCACAGAAAGGGAUUUGUGGACAGCACGCAAAGUUGGGCCAGCAAGAGGGAACUGAUGGGCACGUUGGGAAUGCAGAAUUUUAGAAAAUCAUUGCGCUUUACAUGUUUCAUAUAUUUGUCAAUCCCCAGCACUCUCUCAAGCUGGGAACAUGUAUAGCCCUGCGGUGUAGAGCACACCAAGGCUUAGAGAAAUCCAGCAACCCGCCUGAGUCCAUGCCGUUCUGGGUGUACCAGGGUGGAGGUAUCUACUCGUGGCCAGCACUGCCCCUGCCCCAGGAACGCCUACAGUCCAAGGCUUCUGCCCAGC